GGCUGAAGCACCCCAGUGAGAACAUGUUCGCGGAGUUGCCAACUCUAUUCAUUUUUAUCCUAUUCCCCUUUGCUCACGGCUCGUCCAGCUGUUAAUCGCUGAGUAGCUCUUACUCACCACGCUUGCAGAGCUUACAUACAUACACACAAGUGGGGUGAGAUUGCCGAUUCUAUUUUGUGGUUCAGUUGUGAAUAGAAAAGCGAAGGGCUAGGAAAUUUUAAGCGUCACAGCGUCACCACGAAGAGGGACAGCUGAAAUAAAUACUAGACUUGCA